rnacentral:lncRNA from 1 species
GGAAGAGCCCACCCAGUGCGCUUCAUGUGGCGCGAGUAACCAGGGGACGCUGCGGCGCGGGCAUGCCGGGACUUGUAGUUCUGGAAGAGGCAGCCGCCCUGCAAUCGGUGCGCGGAGUCUGAGCGAUCCCAGCCUAGAGAUUCGGUUUCUUGUUGUGACUAUUGCCUGAGCCUUUCGGAGAAUUCGGUAUUGCUAUGCUAGUCUGCUUGUAGAGUGAAUUGGGGGCCAUUUCUCCUGAGAUAGGCAGCAUGGUACCAGCUAUAACCUCCUUGAACUGGCUACUUGAAAGAAGUCUUCCUUCAGUGAUAUCACUUCUUCCAAGAUACAGAAGCCAAAAUAUGGAGUCCACAAAAAAUAGUGAUAAAUCUGGAAACAGCCUACAGGGAUCUUCACUCUGGAUCAUUCUUUAUGUUUAGCACCACCCCAGAUCUUCAACUACCUAAUAGUAAGCUAAAGAUGAUAAUA